rnacentral:rRNA from 1 species
UUGAAAGGGAAACGAUUGAAGUCAGUCAUGUUGGUGGGGAAUCAACUUGAUAGUAUGCGGGUUUACUCGUGUCCUUUCUAGUGCACUUCCUUACUUGCAGGUUAGCAUCAAUUUCAGUUAUCAUAUAAAAAUUGAGGGAAGGUGGCUUUAGUUCGGAAAAGUGUUAUAGACCAUGAGAAAUGUGGUGGCCGGGAUUGAGGAUUGCAGCGGAUACCCAUUUGGGCUAGUCACCUGGCUUCUGAUGGUUGCCCGGUCUUCGAUAGCUUGCUAACGUUGGUGGGAUUCGAUUAUCUAGAUGUUGGAGUGAUCAUAAAUUCGUUAAGGAUGUUGACGUA